rnacentral:rRNA from 1 species
UGCCAGACUCCUACGGGAGGCAGCAGUGGGGAAUAUUGCACAAUGGGGGAAACCCUGAUGCAGCGACGCCGCGUGAGUGAGGAAGUAUUUCGGUAUGUAAAGCUCUAUCAGCAGGGAAGAAAAUGACGGUACCUGACUAAGAAGCCCCGGCUAACUACGUGCCAGCAGCCGCGGUAAUACGUAGGGGGCAAGCGUUAUCCGGAUUUACUGGGUGUAAAGGGAGCGUAGACGGAGGAGCAAGUCUGAUGUGAAAAGCCGGGGCCCAACCCCGGAACUGCAUUGGAAACUGUUUAUCUAGAGUGUCGGAGAGGCAAGUGGAAUUCCUAGUGUAGCGGUGAAAUGCGUAGAUAUUAGGAGGAACACCAGUGGCGAAGGCGGCUUGCUGGACGAUGACUGACGUUGAGGCUCGAAAGCGUGGGGAGCAAACAGGAUUAGAUACCCA